rnacentral:rRNA from 1 species
GAUGAACGCAGGCGGCGUGCCUAAUACAUGCAAGUCGAGCGAAUCAUUAGGAGCUUGCUCCUGAUGGUUAGCGGCGGACGGGUGAGUAACACGUGGGCAACCUGCCUAUAAGACUGGGAUAACUUCGGGAAACCGGAGCUAAUACCGGAUAAUCCUUUUCCACACAUGUGGGAAAGCUGAAAGACGGUUUCGGCUGUCACUUAUAGAUGGGCCCGCGGCGCAUUAGCUAGUUGGUGAGGUAAUGGCUCACCAAGGCGACGAUGCGUAGCCGACCUGAGAGGGUGAUCGGCCACACUGGGACUGAGACACAGCCCAGACUCCUACGGGAGGCAGCAGUAGGGAAUCUUCCGCAAUGGACGAAAGUCUGACGGAGCAACGCCGCGUGAACGAUGAAGGCCUUCGGGUCGUAAAGUUCUGUUGUUAGGGAAGAACGAGUAUCGGAGUAACUGCCGGUACCUUGACGGUACCUAACCAGAAAGCCACGGCUAACUACGUGCCAGCCGCCGCAGUAA